rnacentral:rRNA from 1 species
AGUGAACGCUGGCGGUAGGCCUAACACAUGCAAGUCGAACGGCAGCACAGUAAGAGCUUGCUCUUACGGGUGGCGAGUGGCGGACGGGUGAGGAAUACAUCGGAAUCUACUUUUUCGUGGGGGAUAACGUAGGGAAACUUACGCUAAUACCGCAUACGACCUACGGGUGAAAGCAGGGGAUCUUCGGACCUUGCGCGAUUGAAUGAGCCGAUGUCGGAUUAGCUAGUUGGCGGGGUAAAGGCCCACCAAGGCGACGAUCCGUAGCUGGUCUGAGAGGGUGAUCAGCCACACUGGAACUGAGACACGGUCCAGACUCCUACGGGAGGCAGCAGUGGGGAAUAUUGGACAAUGGGCGCAAGCCUGAUCCAGCCAUGCCGCGUGGGUGAAGAAGGCCUUCGGGUUGUAAAGCCCUUUUGUUGGGGAAGAAAAGCAGCAGGUUAAUACCCCGCUGUUCUGACGGUACCCAAAGAAUAAGCACCGGCUAACUUCGUG